UCUGGUGUUGUUUUCUCAUAGCUCAACAAGAAAUUGUUCAAUAUGAUUGCCGCUUUAAUAGCUUCGUUUCGCGAAGGGGGCUCCAUUGUAGAACUUUCAUCAUCUUCUUCAUCGAUAUCAUCUUUAUUAAUU